GCGCCGAGGGGCGGGGCCGCCCGGCAGGUACCUGAGCGCGCGGACUCGCGCCCCGGGGCCCCUCCCUCCUCGUCUCUCCCAACCGCUACCCUGGGCCGCUCUCUCCGGAGUGGUCUUCGGAGACCAUGGAGGGGGCAGAAGGGAGAUAAAAAGUACCCGAGGUAUAGAGGGAACGUUUGGGGCCUGAUGAACUUUUAUGUAGAGGGGACGAAGACCAGAAGUGUGGCUGCGCCCUUUUCUUGGAAACGGAAGAACCUUUUCCUAGCUGCCUUGUAGCGUUACUUGACUUCACAGCCUAAUUUUAAGUUCUUUAAGAAUCAGCCCGCUUCUCUUCACUUUUGUGGCUUUACAUCGACUACCAGCUUGCUAGCCUACUACAGAGCCCUGGCCCCCGUAUUAUGGUAGGAUCCACUGUAGCACCCUGGCAAGGAUGGCCUGGCCCUUUCCUUGUAUGCCUCCCACGGUGGGAGUCUCAGCACUGUUCUUGGGAAGUUGUUGAGUGGAUUCCUGGAUUAUCUGUUGAUGAAAAGCUGACGAAGUAUAAAUUGAAGUAAAGGUAACUCUUUUCGUCCCAUGGAGCAAUCGUUCCCAAAGCGGCACCUGACAUCAUAGUGCAGGACUAAACGUGUCGCUCACAUGUGCUGAAGGGAAGAAGAAUAAGUGAAUGUGAGCAUGCUCAGGAAUACUUAUUAAACUGAACAAUCUUACCAACCUCAUCGACGAUGCAGAGGUCCCAAGAGAAAGCAAUCCCUGAACUGUUCACCGUUUCCUUACAUCUUCAUCUGAACAGGUGUUCUUAGAAGAACACUUCUGUUGACAAAGUUUCCACGAUCAUGUCCAAUCAAACGACACUGACCGCCCACGUUGCGCCAGGCACUGCACCAGCCCUUACGUCUAUAGUGAUGAACGACACACCGUGUCCUGAAGGAGUUGCCUUUUAGAGCCCCGUGUGGCAACCACAACACUGGAGAAACGGAUGGUUUAUUUCACUGAUGACUGGAGGCGAAGAUUCAUAAGGAAGAAGCAUUCGCAAGUCAAACAUUCUAACUGGAGGCUGUCAUCACAAGAGCUACCAAAAUGAUAAAUCUUGCCUCUAUGGCCUCUCUUUGUCCUAAAGCCUCUUGUCUUUUUGUUUUGUUUUGUUUUUCUUUAGUCUUCAGUUGCUCCUGGAUUCUAAUGAAGAUAUCAGCCAUUUGUUAAAUAAAGACGCGAAGAAAUUCAGGAACAAAAAUAUCAGUAAGGAGGAACAAUCUGUAUUUGUUUGUGGUGGAUGAGCCUCAGCCAAUUCCAAAAUAAU